rnacentral:rRNA from 1 species
ACUGCUCAGUAACACGUGGACAACGUGCCCUAAAGUGGAGCAUAAUCUCGGGAAACUGAGGAUAAUUCUCCAUAGACCAUGAGAUCUGGAACGACUUAUGGUUCAAAGUUCCGGCGCUUUAGGAUCGGUCUGCGGCCUAUCAGGUAGUAGUGGGUGUAACGUACCCCCUAGCCAAUUACGGGUAUGGGCCUUGAGAGAGGGAGCCCAGAGUUGGAUUCUGAGACACGAAUCCAGGCCCUACGGGGCGCAGCAGUCGCGAAAACUUCACAAUAGGCGAAAGCCCGAUGAGGGAAUUCCUAGUGCUAGCACAUUUGUGUUAGCUUUUCCUUAGCGUAGAUAACUAGGGGAAUAAGGGCUGGGUAAGACGGGUGCCAGCCGCCGCGGUAAUACCCGCAGCCCGAGUGGUGGUCGAUUUUAUUGAGUCUAAAACGUUCGUAGCCGGUCUGAUAAAUCCUUGGGUAAAUCGGGAAGCUUAACUUUCCGAAUUCCGAGGAGACUGUCAGGCUUGGGAUCGGGAGAGGUAUGAGGUACUUCAGGGGUAGGGGUAAAAUCCUGUAAUCCUUGGAGGACCACCGGUGGCGAAGGCGUCAUACUAGAACGAAUCCGACGGUGAGGGACGAAGCCCUAGGUCGCAAACGGGAUUAGAUACCCCGGUAGUCUAGGGUGUAAACGCUGCAGACUUGGUGUUGGGGGCCCUUCGGGGGCAUUCAGUGCCGGAGAGAAGUUGUUAAGUCUGCUACUUGGGGAGUACGUCCGCAAGGAUGAAACUUAAAGGAAUUGGCGGGGGAGCAC